CCUACGGGGGGCACCAGUGGGGAAUAUUGCACAAUGGGCGCAAGCCUGAUGCAGCCAUGCCGCGUGUGUGAAGAAGGCCUUCGGGUUGUAAAGUACUUUCAGCGGGGAGGAAGGUGUUGAGGUUAAUAACCUCAGCAAUUGACGUUACCCGCAGUAGAAGCACCGGCUAACUCCGUGCCAGCAGUCGCGGUAAUACGGAGGGUGCAAGCGUUAAUCGGAAUUACUGGGCGUAAAGCGCACGCAGGCGGUCUGUCAAGUCGGAUGUGAAAUCCCCGGUCUCAACCUGGGAACCGCAUUCGAAACUGGCAGGCUAGAGUCUUGUAGAGGGGGGUAGAAUUCCAGGUGUAGCGGUGAAAUGCGUAGAGAUCUGGAGGAAUACCGGUGGCGAAGGCGGCCCCCUGGACAAAGACUGACGCUCAGGUGCGAAAGCGUGGGGAGCAAACAGGAUUAGAUACCCCCGUAGUC
rnacentral:rRNA from 1 species